rnacentral:tRNA from 3 species
GGGGCUAUAGCUCAGCUGGGAGAGCGCCUGCCUUGCACGCAGGAGGUCAGGAGUUCGAUCCUCCUUGGCUCCACCA